rnacentral:misc_RNA from 1 species
GUGAAUCAUCAAAUUUUUGAACGCAAGUUGCACUCUCCGGUUUUCCGGGAGAGUAUGCCUGUUUGAGGGUCAGCCUAAAAAAAAUCGACAUUGUUGCUGUUAUUUAAUGGUGACUUUCGUCGGAGAUUGGGUUAUCUUAAACCUUUUUUUUUUGGUUUAGCCGAUUUAAAUUUUUUUUUCACGAUUCCUUAAACGUUUCUAGGUUUUUUAUUUUUUUUCCGUUUAAGUUUUAUCGU